rnacentral:lncRNA from 1 species
AACAACGGAACUUGUUGCUAAUAAUCCUAUCACCGAGAGUAAAUUUGAGCCACCAAAGUCCAAGAGCUGGAGCAAGCUGAAGAAAUUGAUCCUCCUUAAGAGAUCAAUAAAGGUAUUGGAAAGAGCUCGAAAAGUCAAUCCACAACCCCCUCAACUUUUGCCCCCUACACCUGAUCAAGAACAAGAAAAAGUGGAUUUGAGGAACCAAAUGUCAAAUGAGAGGAAAAAAGCUGAACAAUGGAUGCUCGAUAAUGCAGUGCAGCGCAUGGUCAGUAAGCUAACUCCUGCACGGAAAACAAGAGUGGCGAUGCUUGUGGAAGCUUUCGAAGCAGUUGUUCCACUCCCAGAAGUAUGAAUUCAACUGGAGUGGACUAAACUUUAGUCAAGAAAAUUCCUUGAGAACCUUUUUACGCGAAAUGUAAAGGUAAGCAAAUUAACUACCUACACUUCCUAGAAAUAGCUAAAGGUAACUCAUUAAUAGAGGAUCUUUUUUGCUUUCCCUUUUCAUUGUGUUCCUUGAAUAAGAGCUUGGAGGGGUAACAUUUGAGGGAUCGAAACGAGCUUAUGCACUCGUUUGAUUCUUCUACUCCACAGCGAGGACGCAGACAAGAGUUUGCACCUAUCAUUAGAGGCUAACUGAGGAUGAAAGAACAGUCUUUUUAUCAUGAUAUGUGAUCAAAAAAUCGACUAUUGUACAGAUAAAUAAAACGUAAUUUCGGAAGCUUGAUCAUUCCUUCAGCACAACCAUAUGAUUUUUGUUUUUGGAUUAAUGAAUGGAAGAAACUUUGACUCAUGAGAGUAUAUGAAUCAAUGAAAAUGUUAUCUGAUGCACAAUUUCCUACCUGUUUAUAUUCACCUUAUUAAUUCAUCAUCAAAUAGAACAAGCUAGAAUGAUCAUCUACUAACUAUAUUUCUCCCACAUCGUUUGUAUAUAGAGACUUUUGUGACUUCAUAUAUGAGAAACAAGACUGAUGCAUUCGCCGAGCUUUGUAACGUGGGCUUGUAACCCGAGUGGGGGCAACAAUGUGGUGGAAUGUUGGGUCCAUCUUGAUGGAUGGGCUUGAAGGGCUAAUGUUCUGGCCUGCCCUGUCCAAGCACAGAGUUGGGUCAAGUGGUCUAUACGAAAGUAUAGGCCACUUGGCCUUUAGAGUGGGAUGGACUGCGUGAGGCUGGUUUCACAGAGCAACGACUAGUCCCCGCUCUGUGCAGUGGAAGGAUCACGGGCUAGUGCUCUUUGAGUCCUAACAAAAACCUGAUAGGUUGCCUAAUUAAACCAUCACUUUUUUUGGGCCCUAAAUCUUGCAUAUUAUGUCUAUGUUGGUAUUUAUAUAAAAUCAUGUCAACUUACUAUACAUUAAAAGUAAUUUAAUAAGGAGAAAUUUGUAAUAAGUUAGCUCGUUUUGGCAAUCUAUUUGAAAUCGCAAGUACUAAUAGUGAUAAAGUAAUUAAUGUUAAGUACGUAACUAUAUAUAAAUACGAUUGCACUUUUUGUGAUCUCUUUUGUUCUAUAGUUUUGGUAAAUUCAAAUUUGAUUCAAGGCUCUUUUGAUCUACAAUCAAUCUCUUUAGCCGCGAGAAGAUUUGGGUCUGUCAAAAAAAACUAACACUUUUUCCAACGUUUCUACCGUAAGAUGGGAAGUCCUCCAUUAAAAAAAGCAGUCAAGCGAUGAAAUUGCGAAAUAGAAUAGUUUCCACUUUCUUGUAGCACCUUCUGUAUAAAAUCGUUAAAUGUCUAAUGAAAUAAUGUCACAGAUCUAGACUUGAUUGAGUUUUUAGUUUUUCAAAGUUUUAUUUACGCUAAUGUUAGGUAGACAUUGUGUCAUAUUCUCCCACAUCGUUUCUGAACAAUGACUUAUUUGUGUUUAUAUUUUAGAUAACAAGACUCAACAUCGCCGAGCCUUGUAAGUGGUGGAAUGUUAGACUGACACUGACGGCUGGGCUUGGAGGGCUAAUCUUUGGCUUGCGAAGGUAUAGGUUGCUUGGCCUUUAGAGUGGGAUGGACUGCGUGAGGUUGGUUUCACAGAGCAACGAAUAGUCCCCGCUUUGUGCAGUGGAAGGAUAACGAGCCGGUGCUUUUCAAGUUCAAUAAACACUUGAUGUGCUGUCUAUUUAAACCACCAUUUUUUUUGUUCACCCUAAUCAAAGGGUCUCGUGUUUGUGUUUGAUUCCUGGAUAUGGAAAGCGAUUCCUCCUUAAUGAGAUCCUACAGCUCUGUCAGUGGAAGGAUAACGAGCCGGUGCUUUCCAAGUUCAAUAAACACUGAUGUGCUGUCUAAUUAAACCACCAUUUUUUUGUUCCUCCUUAGUCAAAGGGUCUCGUGUUUGAUUCCUGGAUAUGAAAAGCUUGUGGAAGCUUUCGAAGCAGUUGGCCAAUAGGCAGCCUUGGUCUUAGUCUAGUUCAUUUUUGUUUUUUGUUCUUUCAUCAUUUCAAACUGUGUGUCAAAUGAGGUAUGAUGAAGUAUUCAGGAUAAUUUCACUGGUCAUAUUUAGAGGCGGAUCAAAGAUUUAAAUUUAAUAGGUUCGACAUUUAAGAUUCUUAAUAUUAAAUUCAUUACACUGCUAAAUUAUGAGUUCAGAUGUAAUAUGUCUUUGAUGUUUUACUCUCUGCCGGAAGCUAUACCCACUCACCCUGGUUACACUUCCAGCACUUGUACAAUUAAAUAUCUGCCACCGAAAAGGACAACAACAACAAUCCUGUAUAAUCUCACCAGUGGAGUUCGGAGAAAGUGAAAUGUAUGUACACCUUACUAAGCUUGUAUGGGGUUAGAGAUGUUAUUUCCGAUGAACGCUUGAAGAAAAAGGAAUCCAACAUUAGAGUGGGGUCAAAUGAUUUAUACGAAGGUAUUGGUUGCUUGUCUCUUUAGAGUUGGGCAGACUGCGUGAGGCUGAUUUCACAGAGCAACGAAUAGUAUCUACUCUAUGCAGUGGAAGGACAACGAGUCAGAGCUUUUCAAGUUCAAAAAACACCUGAUGGGCUGUCUAAUUAAACCA